AGUUUCUUUCAAGGCCAAAGGCUACCUAUUAGCUACAUAAAGUAUCUUUCUCUCCACCUCUUAUUUCCUACAGGUGACCCCAAAGGAGCCAUGAUAACCCAUCAAAAUAUUGUUUCAAAUGCUGCUGCCUUUCUCAAAUGUGUGGAGGAUACUUAUGAGCCCACUCCCGAUGAUGUGGCCAUAUCCUACCUCCCUCUGGCUCAUAUGUUUGAGAGGAUUGUACAGGCUGUUGUGUACAGCUGUGGAGCCAGAAUUGGAUUCUUCCAAGGGGAUAUUCGGUUGCUGGCUGAUGACAUGAAGACUUUGAAGCCCACAUUGUUUCCGGCGGUGCCUCGACUCCUUAACAGGAUCUACGAUAAGGUACAAAAUGAAGCCAAGACACCCUUGAAGAAGUUCUUGUUGAAGUUGGCUGUUUCCAGUAAAUUCAAAGAGCUUCAAAAGGGCAUCAUCAGGCGUGACAGUUUCUGGGACAAGCUCAUCUUUGCAAAGAUCCAGGACAGCCUGGGUGGAAGGGUUCGUGUAAUCGUCACUGGAGCUGCCCCCAUCUCCGCUCCAGUCAUGACAUUCUUACGGGCAGCAAUGGGAUGU
rnacentral:sRNA from 1 species